rnacentral:rRNA from 1 species
UACGUAGGGCGCAAGCGUUGUCCGGAAUUAUUGGGCGUAAAGAGCUCGUAGGCGGCUUGUCGCGUCGAAUGUGAAAUCCUGCGGCUCAACUGCAGGCUUGCAUUCGAUACGGGCAGGCUCGAGUUCGGUAGGGGAGACUGGAAUUCCUGGUGUAGCGGUGAAAUGCGCAGAUAUCAGGAGGAACACCGGUGGCGAAGGCGGGUCUCUGGGCCGAUACUGACGCUGAGGAGCGAAAGCGUGGGGAGCGAACAGG